rnacentral:rRNA from 1 species
UGGGGAAUAUUGCACAAUGGGGGAAACCCUGAUGCAGCCAUGCCGCGUGUGUGAAGAAGGCCUUCGGGUUGUAAAGCACUUUCAGUAGGGAGGAAAGGUUGUAAGUUAAUACCUUGCAGCUGUGACGUUACCUACAGAAGAAGGACCGGCUAACUCCGUGCCAGCAGCCGCGGUAAUACGGAGGGUCCGAGCGUUAAUCGGAAUUACUGGGCGUAAAGCGUGCGCAGGCGGUUUGUUAAGCGAGAUGUGA